GAAUUUAUAGCAUUUUUUCUUCUACAAAGUGUCAACUGGCAAUCGUACUUGAACGGCAAAAAUCUUCGAAAUAUACAGAUUCAGCAGAAUCUAUUUCAACACACUUUUACCGAGGCUCGUGAACACAUAAAGAUGGGUUGGCGAGAUAAAAUUAAACGCUUGGGAUCCCGUUUCGUAGAGAGACUGAUCGAGGCGAUUUUCGAUUACAUCGUCGCCAAAGUACAGAAGAAGCCCGUUAAAUGGAAGGAUGAUGGUGAAAUGAACCGUUAUGCAUUAAAGACAAUUAUGGGGACCAUUGAUGAUCGUCUGUGUAGCUCGCCUGUCUAAAUUGUAAUGGUUGUGAUAAACAGUAUAUCGGAGAGACUGGAGAUAUUUUGAGGAAUAGAAUGACAAUCCAUUGUCAACACAUAAGAGAUUAAAAAAAUAUCAAAUCGUAAAUGUGAGUAAUAAUAUAUCAAGGUUUGCAAAAGGAAUGAAUCCAGAAUUUUGAUGCCAUACCUUUUUAUAAAAUGAGGACAGAAAAAGAAACUAAACGUAAGAUUAAAGAAAAAUAUUUUAUCAAUGAAUUCAGCCAGAACUGAACAAGCCUUAUAGUUCAAAGAAUGAUGCAGCUGUUUUAUGAAUUUACAUUAAUAAUGUCUUUUUAUGAUACGUGCUUUUAGCUGAUAUAUCAGGAAUGUCGUGGUCGAGUGGUUUAAGGCGCUUGACUGGAGAUGUGAAGGUCGAGGG